AUCAGUACUUUCUGCACGUUUUAACAAUACCGCAAUAAUACUGCUAACCGUGAUUAUUUUGGUCACUAUAAUCGUGAUAUGAAAUUCUCAUACCAUUUAAUCUCUAGUUACAACAGAAAGGGUUCGAUUUCAGCCCAGGGGCAGUAAGGUUACAACAGAAAGGGGUUGAUUUCAGCCCAGGGGCAGUAAGGUUCCAACAGAAAGGAGUUGAUUUCAGCCCAGGGGCAGUAAGGUUACAACAGAAAGGGGUUGAUUUCAGCCCAGGGGCAGUAAGGUUACAACAGAAAGGAGUUGAUUUCAGCCCAGGGGCAGUAAGGUUACAACAGAAAGGAGUUGAUUUCAGCCCAGGGGCAGUAAGGUUACAACAGAAAGGGGUUGAUUUCAGCCCAGGGGCAGUAAGGUUCCAACAGAAAGGAGUUGAUUUCAGCCCAGGGGCAGUAAGGUUACAACAGAAAGGGGUUGAUUUCAGCCCAGGGGCAGUAAGGUUACAACAGAAAGGGGUUGAUUUCAGCCCAGGGGCAGUAAGGUUACAACAGAAAGGGGUUGAUUUCAGCCCAGGGGCAGUAAGGUUACAACAUAAAGGAGUUGAUUUCAGCCCAGGGGCAGUAAGGUUACAACAUAAAGGAGUUGAUUUCAGCCCAGGGGCAGUAAGGUUCCAACAGAAAGGAGUUGAUUUCAGCCCAGGGGCAGUAAGGUUACAACAUAAAGGAGUUGAUUUCAGCCCAGGGGCAGUAAGGUUACAACAUAAAGGAGUUGAUUUCAGCCCAGGGGCAGUAAGGUUACAACAGAAAGGGGUUGAUUUCAGCCCAGGGGCAGUAAGGUUACGACAGAAAGGAGUUGAUUUCAGCCCAGGGGCAGUAAGGUUACGACAGAAAGGAGUUGAUUUCAGCCCAGGGGCAGUAAGGUUACAACAGAAAGGAGUUGAUUUCAGCCCAGGGGCAGUAAGAUUACAACAGAAAGGAGUUGAUUUCAGCCCAGGGGCAGUAAGGUUACAACAGAAAGGAGUUGAUUUCAGCCCAGG